rnacentral:rRNA from 1 species
ACGUGGGUAACCUGCCCGUAAGACUUAAGCCAAUCCCGGAAACCGGGGCUAAUACCGGAUGGUUGUUUGAACCGCAAGGUUCAAACAUAAAAAUUGGCUUCGGCUACCACUUACAGAUGGACCCGCGGCGCGUUCCCUAGUUGGUGAGGUAACGGCUCACCAAGGCCACGAUGCGUAGCCAACCUGAGAGGGUGAUCGGUUUUAGUGGGACUCCGACACGGCCCAGACUCCUACGGGAGGCAGCAGUAGGGAAUCUUCCGCAAUGGACGAAAGUCUGACGGAGCAACGCCGCGUGAGUGAUGAAGGUUUUCGGAUCGUAAAGCUCUGUUGUUAGGGAAGAACAAGUACCGUUCGAAUAGGGCGGUACCUUGACGGUACCUAACCAGAAAGCCACGGC